rnacentral:ncRNA from 2 species
UAAGCGAAGAGAUACAAAGAACCCCAUCCUGUAAUCCGGGCACCUCGGAUGGGGGGAGCGAGUGGUGCGACCGGCUUUUCGAUCA